ACAUGGGGGGAACCGCAUCCAGUCUCUACCGCGUGUGUGAAGAAGGCCCUAGUGGUUGUAAAGCACUAUAAUGCGACGAGGAUGCUACUGUAUAGAUAAUACCCUAGAGAUACGUGGAACGUCACUCGCAGAAUAAGCAGCAGGCUAACUCUGUGCCAGCAGCCGCGGUAAUACAGAGGGUGCAAGCGUUAAUCGGAUUUACUGGGCGUAAAGCGCGCGUAGGCGGCUAAUUAAGUCAAAUGUGAAAUCCCCGAGCUUAACUUGGGAAUUGCAUUCGAUACUGGUUAGCUAGAGUGUGGGAGAGGAUGGUAGAAUUCCAGGUGUAGCGGUGAAAUGCGUAGAGAUCUGGAGGAAUACCGAUGGCGAAGGCAGCCAUCUGGCCUAACACUGACGCUGAGGUGCGAAAGCAUGGGGAGCAAACAGGAUUAGAUACCCUGGUAGUCCAUGCCGUAAACGAUGUCUACUAGCCGUUGGGGCCUUUGAGGCUUUAGUGGCGCAGCUAACGCGAUAAGUAGACCGCCUGGGGAGUACGGUCGCAAGACUAAAACUCAAAUGAAUUGACGGGGGCCCGCACAAGCGGUGGAGCAUGUGGUUUAAUUCGAUGCAACGCGAAGAAACUUUACUUGGC
rnacentral:rRNA from 1 species